rnacentral:rRNA from 1 species
AGAGUUUGAUCCUGGCUCAGGACGAACGCUGGCGGCGUGCUUAACACAUGCAAGUCGAACGAGAAUCUGUGGAUCGAGGAUUCGUCCAAGUGAAGCAGAGGACAGUGGCGGUCGGGUGAGUAACGCGUGAGGAACCUGCCUUUCAGAGGGGGACAACAGUUGGAAACGACUGCUAAUACCGCAUGAUACAUUUGGGUGGCAUCAUCUGAAUGUCAAAGAUUUAUCGCUGAAAGAUGGCCUCGCGUCUGAUUAGCUAGUUGGUGAGGUAACGGCCCACCAAGGCGACGAUCGGUAGCCGACCUGAGAGGGUGAUCGGCCACAUUGGAACUGAGAAACGGUCCAAACUCCUACGGGAGGCAGCAGUGGGGAAUAUUGGGCAAUGGGCGAAAGCCUGACCCAGCAACGCCGCGUGAAGGAAGAAGGUUUUCGGAUCGUAAACUUCUAUCCUUGGUGAAGAUAAUGACGGUAGCCAAGAAGGAAGCCCCGGCUAACUACGUGCCAGCAGCCGCGGUAAUACGUAGGGGGCAAGCGUUAUCCGGAAUUACUGGGCGUAAAGGGUGCGUAGGUGGUUUCUUAAGUCAGAGGUGAAAGGCUACGGCUCAACCGUAGUAAGCCUUUGAAACUGGGAAACUUGAGUGCAGGAGAGGAGAGUGGAAUUCCUAGUGUAGCGGUGAAAUGCGUAGAUAUUAGGAGGAACACCAGUUGCGAAGGCGGCUCUCUGGACUGUAACUGACACUGAGGCACGAAAGCGUGGGGAGCAAACAGGAUUAGAUACCCUGGUAGUCCACGCCGUAAACGAUGAGUACUAGCUGU